rnacentral:rRNA from 1 species
CCGGAUACCCCCGGGCGCCGCAUGGCGCCCGGGCUAAAGCCCCGACGGGAGGGGAUGGCUCCGCGGCCCAUCAGGUAGACGGCGGGGUGACGGCCCACCGUGCCGACAACGGGUAGCCGGGUUGAGAGACCGACCGGCCAGAUUGGGACUGAGACACGGCCCAGACUCCUACGGGAGGCAGCAGUGGGGAAUCUUGCGCAAUGGGGGGAACCCUGACGCAGCGACGCCGCGUGCGGGACGGAGGCCUUCGGGUCGUAAACCGCUUUCAGCAGGGAAGAGUCAAGACUGUACCUGCAGAAGAAGCCCCGGCUAACUACGUGCCAGCAGCCGCGGUAAUACGUAGGGGGCGAGCGUUAUCCGGAUUCAUUGGGCGUAAAGCGCGCGUAGGCGGCCCGGCAGGCCGGGGGUCGAAGCGGGGGGCUCAACCCCCCGAAGCCCCCGGAACCUCCGCGGCUUGGGUCCGGUAGGGGAGGGUGGAACACCCGGUGUAGCGGUGGAAUGCGCAGAUAUCGGGUGGAACACCGGUGGCGAAGGCGGCCCUCUGGGCCGAGACCGACGCUGAGGCGCGAAAGCUGGGGGAGCGAACAGGAUUAGAUACCCUGGUAGUCCCAGCCGU